rnacentral:rRNA from 1 species
CGGACGGGUGAGUAAUGUCUGGGAAACUGCCUGAUGGAGGGGGAUAACUACUGGAAACGGUAGCUAAUACCGCAUAACGUCGCAAGACCAAAGAGGGGGACCUUAGGGCCUCUUGCCAUCGGAUGUGCCCAGAUGGGAUUAGCUUGUUGGUGGGGUAACGGCUCACCAAGGCGACGAUCCCUAGCUGGUCUGAGAGGAUGACCAGCCACACUGGAACAGAGACACGGUCCAG